ensembl:lncRNA
CAGAUACAGCGGGAGGGAACAGUGGUGGAUUUGUUGCAGGAGGGGGCCUCUCAUCAUCUGUAGCCAAGGCUUUUCCAAGAUGUCAUCUUGUUUUCAUCCAGGCAUUAUGCUAAGCUAACCAGCUGCUGGCUGCAUGUUUUUGGUGCUGAUACAGUAUGAGAGGGAUAGUGUGUGUGUGUGUGUGUGUGUGUGCGCGUGUACACACACGGUAUCUGCUAAACCAACCUUCUCACCCUCAUCGGGUUUUAACACCCAAAGCCAAAUUUGAUUUGAUCAUUGUUGGUUAUUUACCGUCUGCCUGGAAAAACCUCUUUCACUUAGUGCCUAUUAGAUUACGGAGGGGCUGGCACGCACACGUGUGUGUGUGUGUGUGUGUGUGUGUGCACGCGGCGCACAAACAAACACUCCGUGCCGCUUGGCAAAUUGGCGCCUGUUUGAGCAGAACGCACUUGUUUAUAUGAAUAUUCGACAUCAAGGAAACCAAGCGGCCGAACAUGUGUGCACUGUUUCAAGCGUCUUUUUAAUGAUUUUCGUCUGUCUUCGGUCGUGUCUCUGUGUUCGUGUGUGGCGGCGUGUCUUUUUAUUUGUUUGUUUGCGUCUGAUGAAUGGAGCGAUUAAGUAAGUGUGAUCUUUGUGUGUGUACAUUAGCGCGCCUGUGAGUUAUCGGUUUGCGUCGGCAGCGUGAUGAAUGUGUGGCCGACACACAGCAGCUCAUCAUUCAGCCGACCAAGGAACCAGAUGAACUCGCUCCACAGCGCGCUGCGUUUGAUGGCCCGUGUGUGUGUGUGUGUGUGUGUGUGUUUGGGCUUCAGCAAGGCGUUUCUACCCGUGCACGAGCACUCCAACCAGCGUGCUACUGAUUCCCCGCUCAUGUGGUUACACGUUGUUUAAAGGCGUAUUUAUUGGUGGGUCCGUCACCAGGACGUGCUCACACCAACAUCACGGCCCCCAUCAUUCUUUUGCUUAAUUGCAGAUAGAAUAACUGAGCGUACAGUAGUUUGGUCAGCGAGCUUGAUAAAAGCCAUGACGGCUCUACAACAAAUGAUCUGGACCAGACUAAAUUAAAAUCACACGUUUAGCACAAUUCAUGAUAUAAAUAUAUAUAUUA